rnacentral:rRNA from 1 species
GACGAACGCUGGCGGCGUGCUUAACACAUGCAAGUCGAGCGGUAAGGCCCUUUCGGGGGUACACGAGCGGCGAACGGGUGAGUAACACGUGGGUGACCUGCCCUUAGCUCUGGGAUAAGCCUGGGAAACUGGGUCUAAUACCAGAUAUGACUCCAUGACGCAUGUUGUGGGGUGGAAAGCCUUGUGCGGCUAGGGGAUGGGCCCGCGGCCUAUCAGCUUGUUGGUGGGGUGAUGGCCUACCAAGGCGACGACGGGUAGCCGGCCUGAGAGGGCGACCGGCCACACUGGGACUGAGACACGGCCCAGACUCCUACGGGAGGCAGCAGUGGGGAAUCUUGCGCAAUGGGCGAAAGCCUGACGCAGCGACGCCGCGUGGGGAUGACGGCCUC